CUGAUCAUGGGAAGCGUGUCGCUUGCCUAUUAGUUGUUGCUUAAUUCUUUAAUUUGGUGAUACGAGCCCAAUGACAAGCCGGAGGAUUUAGUGUGACCAUCAACAGAGGCAAGUAUCUUCCAGUCAUAGGCGAAGAUUUUACACUGGUCUGCACGUUCACACUACAAGUCAGAAAUAUGGAGAUCACGUGGCAGAAGGAUGGUAAAUCGCUCGCAACACGCGAUUGUCAGGAAAAUCGGUCCUGUAGGUUUACUGUUCUAGACCAACGGAAGUUCAACUUGGUGGCAGAUUACUCCAGUGUUAAUCUUACGAUAAAACAACUGUUUGGUGACGACGGUGGUCAUUACAGUUGUUCUUUACGCCAAACUGCCUCUCCCUACAAUACAGUAUCAAGGAGCAUAAACGUAACGCCAUUUCUGCCAGCUUUACCUACAAUCGUCAUAGUUGCCGAUAGAUCGAGCCGUCACUGUUCCAAUAACUCCACUGUAACGGUAAUGGCCGGAGAGCCAAAUAUCUUAACAUGUAAAGCAAUGCGAG